rnacentral:rRNA from 1 species
CGCUCUUCGGGGUGCAGUGGCGGACGGGUGAGUAACACGUACGUAACCUGACCCUUUGUGGGGGAUACCGGUCCGAAAGGGCCGCUAAUACCGCAUGUGAUCGACCGGGAUACCGGUUGCGGAAAGGCCUACGGGUCGCAAGGGGAGGGGCGUGCGGCCGAUUAGCUGGUUGGUGGGGUAACGGCCUACCAAGGCGACGAUCGGUAGCUGGGCUGAGAGGCCGAACAGCCACACUGGGACUGAGACACGGCCCAG